CUGAUUUGUUUUCAUGGAUCCUGUGCCUCUGGCAGAACAGAGAGGAGAAUCUGCCUUUUACUUGUACCGCCAGCUUCUCCCAGGAUAGGGCUUAUGUUCUGAUAGCUUCGGUAAAUAACUGUUGUCUACAUGACUGACUAAGCUUAUGCACAUGAUCUGAAGUUUGUUCCUGAUUUAUCUUGUUUUGUGUUCCUAGGAAGGGGCGACUAAGCCCGAAAUUACAAAACCGGAGUAUGCUACUGGGACUGUAGAAGUGGCUCCGCAGGAGCUGAAGGAUCAUAAAACACUGAGCUCUGUUGGUGGAGCACACGGAGCUUAUUAUACACUACCCGACGUGGGACCUGGCGCAGCUCCGGUGUGGCCCGGCAGCACCCGCCCACCUGCGGCGGCCUCGGAGGCCCAGAUGGUGUGUCAGUGUGCCACUUUACAGAAGAGAGAGGAAGAGAAUCUUCCUGGGAUGAGGUACAGUCUCUUGUUGUUAAUGUACUUGUAUGACUAUAUAAGUACCAGGGGAUUCUGAGACAUAAACCGGGGGUUGGUGUGAGUGUGCAUUUUCACGUUUGCAUCUGCUGAUGAGAAUUUUUGACUUAUGCUUUUAACUUACAGUUUAGGAUGUGAUUCUGUGCUUAAUGCCGUAGGACUGGAUAAUGCACUUGUGUUCAUUUUCCAGACUCACUUAGUGAAACCAGUGUCUGUGUGGGCAUUCUUUUUUUCAGGGUCUUUCCCUUACAGUUUAUUAGAGGAUAUUGAAAAGAAAAUCAUCCCUGGGAAAGUUAGGUGUAUCUUGGGGUUGGUUUUUGAUUUAGCUGUCCUCAAUUGAAAUUAAUUAAGUGAUGUUUCAUUUUCAAGGCAGCAUGUUUUGUCUUCCCAUUCCACCACAAGUAACAGUGGUCUAGUUCCCUUAAUGCCUUACGCUGUUUCCCACCUGCUCCUUUUACUCAGGCUGCCCUUCCCCAAAGCCCCUCCA